GGGUUGGGGGUGGGGGUGAUGGGGCCCAGGUAUCCUGAGGGGCUGGUACUGAGACCCCAUAGGGCAGGUGCCCAAGGAGGUGUGGGGAUGGCUUCUGUGCCAGUGGUGUGGCCUUGGGAUGGUGGUACUUUGUGCUGAGUGCCCCUCCCAGCUCUGAAGGUGCCAGCAUUACCAUUAGUAACCCAGCCACAGGCCCGUGGGUGAAGCCUGAACACAUGGGAAACCCAGACUCCUCCAUAGGCCUUUAGUGAGGCCUCCAGCCCAAAAGUGGUGGUUUUGGUAGGGUUAGUACAAGCUACUUCUUCUUUGGGUUGGAUGGACCUUUAUGGCCGUUCUUAUGUUCACUUUCAUUUGGAUUUCAAGCUAAAACUGACCAAUAGCCAAAACUGCCAUUUUGGGUGGGGAACAUGUGAAAUUCGAUGACUUUUGCAUGGUCACCAUGAAAUAGAGCCAUGUGCCCUGAAAGGGAUUGAGUGAUUUCAGCAAUGCUUGGCAGGCUUAGUCUGAUUUUGAACAUAAUUUUGCACAUCUUGAGACCAAUAUCCUAAUGCACUACAGGGCUCUGAGCUCUACUUCUUUUUACAUAGCACUUUUCAGCCCCAAAACGCUUUUUCAAGUUGAUAUACAAACUAUACAGAUGGGUCACUUAUACCUCGUUUCACUGGAGACUAAAAUACAGUAGCUGUCUCCAUGAGGCAAGGAUCAGUAAUACCACUGCUGGAACCUGUUCAUGUGCCUUUUUGGGCUUCUAGUAGACUGUUAUAUUUCUGCAUGAAUGGGUGAUGUAACUAUAAGAACAUCCGCUAAAGGAGAUUCAUGUAUUUUUGAUUAGUUAAUGGGACAGUGAAAGAACCACAUAGUUCACAGUACUUUUGGGGUGCCUCAGUUGGAUCCCAACCCUUUAAAUUUGGAUAUAAUGUAAAUUUACUCCUAUCCCGUAGCUCUGCUGAUUCAACCACACUCCCCUGAAGAUGCCAUUUUCCUAGGUUGUGCUUCAUCAGUCAAUAUAUACAUUGUUUUAGUAGAUCUUUAAAUUAUGGUGACUUCAUAAUUGAAUUGGUGAUGCAUCCUCUUCCAUCCUGUCAUCUAGUUUGAUGCUAGAACCAAGUUUUGGAGUGUGUAUAAAUAUGUGGGUGUGACACUGUGGAAUACUGGACCACUGUUAAGUUUUGUGUUUACAUGAGUAAACACUUGUAUAUCCAAAAAUAGCUAAGCAUCUGAGACUAUGGAAUGAAAGUGAGUUUCAAGUGUCCUAUAAAGUAUUGUGCAAGAUACUCAAAGUUUUUUUAUAUAUUUUUUUAAACAUGCCUCAACUAAGAAUAUCCACUACCUCUGCCCAUAGAAUAAUGUCUACCAAAAAUAAGAGCACAAAAUAAUGUGAACUAAUCUCCGCAUAAUCUUAAAACUAUGUCCCCACCAAAAAGUUUGUGAACAUCUAAUGUAUAUAUAAUAGCGACUGGUACAUGCACACAACUGAAGAUUUUACAAUUUGUAUCUAAGUGGCCUUGUGCCUGUGCCAAAUAUCUGAUUUAUGGAUGCCUAAGUGUGAGAUUUUGGCCUAGUUGGUGUAUAAACUAAUGGUGAUACCAGUACUUAUUUCUUAUAUGUAUAAAAGCACGUUCUGAAAAACUGCCAACUAUGAUUCAUGAAGACAAUUAAGAUAAAAAAAAAAGAUACUUAUUUACUUCAAGGCACUAUUAUUGAAGGUCUGUUUCUUAGUAUGUUAGGGUCACAGCUAUAUUUUCAGCAGUGUUAAGAAAUCACUUUUUAAAAAAUGGUUCCUAGUAACCUAGGUGCAGAUGGGAUAUAACUCUUAAAACAGCCUUUAAAAACAAUUGUCAAGACUAAUUAUGCUGCAUCCACACAACCAUAUUUGCUGUAACUAAAUUCCACUUCCUAACAGCAAUAAUAUGUGGGGGUUUUUUAGGACACUUAUUAUACUUUUUUAGGUUGUUAAACUGUUAGCGUUUGGCCUCGUGUUUCACACAACCUGAUGCAUCGUUGUUUAUCUACACAAUAAUCAAAAUUUUCCAAAAUGACACACAAUGUUUAUGCAUACUCCUCACAUGAGAUGCUAUUUACAUUUUAAUAAGUAAAAAAGACUGUAACUGGAUCACCAGACUCAACCUAUCCGCCUCCUGACCCAACUAAAGCACAGCUGAGUCUUUUCGUUAAGUUGGAGUGAAUGCUGUAUAAAUCUGUGUUCCUGAUCCAUGCAACAGCCUUGGACUUUGGCAGGCCUUUAGCGUGCUUUGGGAACAUGAUUAAACCAUGGCUCAGUUCCACCUAUACUGCAAUCUGGGACAAUAAUUUAGCUUCGUCAGGGGAUGCCUUAAACAGCACUAUUGUCUCUAGUGGCCUCGCAAAUUAAUGCAACUGUGAGGUGGAUUGUUUAUAUGUAUUUUAGAGGUAAGGACAUUGAGGUUCUGUUAUUCUCCUCCAGCUAACAAGGGACACCUAGAGCAAAGCCGUCAAUAAAACUGUCUUCUGACUUGUCUUAAAUACAAGAUCAUCCUUCUGGUGUUAUAACUAAGUCCUUCCAUUAAUGGUGGUGGUGCCAGUGUAGAUGGAACUAGAGGCAAGAGUAAAUAUAUCCUGCUUCUAUCUACUGCACCAAUCAGAAGUGUAAUACCUUCCUUUCCAGCGUACAAUGGGCCCAACAAAGACUCAUGGAAAUAUAUAGAAACGUCAUCUAUUUUUGUUCCAAAGUGGAGUUCCUGCAAUUAUAGCAAUGCCAGCUGAACCGCUAGAGCUAACAGUCAGCCAGACUUCUAUUAAAAGAAAAUUAGGUCUUCUAACUGGAGGGUUUUACAAAACUUAAGAGGAGUUAAAAUGUUGUCAUGAGUAGUCUUUAAUAUUCACUGAUUAUUUCCUCCCAAUUAUAAACGUUCACCAGCAGCGACAUGAAACUCCAUCGCCUCCACCUGGUACGUGAGAAUCAGAAAUGAAGCUAACCACUGUGCAUUCAUUCCAACUUCAUUGUUCAUUGGCUUGGACAGUGGGGAAAAAACAUCAUUAAAUUGCUGCAAGUCACUUGUGGGGGACCAUCUUAGUUACAACAGCCUCGUGGGGCAGCCCUAUGAUCCCCAGCGUUGCCUGGAACCUCAGCAGUACUGUGUGGCGUUGCCCCUAACAUGCCCCUCCUGUGUCAGCACCUGUGAGGCAUGCAUUGAGGCAAUUCUCUCCUAUCUGAAACUGAGACUUUUAGGGCCCUUUGAAGCUUCUCCACCUUUUUUACCCAGAAUAAAGUAGCCAGAACAGGGUGAGGAUUUUCACCUCUUUCAAUAGCAACAUGGUCAGGUCCACAUUUCCCAUUUAUUUUUCCUCCCUGCAUAGAAGACUUCAUUUCCCUGUCACGUUCGUGAGCAUCUCCUCUUUUUUUCCUCCUUUCCACACUUUGAGGCUUGGUAUCACAACCAACAUCCUUCUAGACUGGGCUGUUGUCAGUUUCUCUCUCACAACACACAAAACUGUUAAAAACUUUGGUGGUUUUUUGCACAAACAUCCUGAAAUAAGAAAAAUAAAUGGGGGUUACAUUG